rnacentral:rRNA from 1 species
AAUAGAUACCCAGGUAGUCCACGCCGUAAACGAUGAGUGCUAAGUGUUAGAGGGUUUCCGCCCUUUAGUGCUGCAGCUAACGCAUUAAGCACUCCGCCUGGGGAGUACGGUCGCAAGACUGAAACUCAAAGGAAUUGACGGGGGCCCGCACAAGCGGUGGAGCAUGUGGUUUAAUUCGAAGCAACGCGAAGAACCUUACCAGGUCUUGACAUCCUCUGACAACUCUAGAGAUAGAGCGUUCCCCUUCGGGGGACAAAGUGACAGGUGGUGCAUGGUUGUCGUCAGCUCGUGUCGUGAGAUGUUGGGUUAAGUCCCGCAACGAGCGCAACCCUUGAUCUUAGUUGCCAGCAUUUAGUUGGGCACUCUAAGGUGACUGCCGGUGACAAACCGGAGGAAGGUGGGGAUGACGUCAAAUCAUCAUGCCCCUUAUGACCUGGGCUACACACGUGCUACAAUGGAUGGUACAAAGGGCUGCAAGACCGCGAGGUCAAGCCAAUCCCAUAAAACCAUUCUCAGUUCGGA